CCCUUAGAUGUUCUGGGCCGCACGCGCGCUACACUGACGGAGCCAACGAGUAUUUUCCUUGUCCGGAAGGACUGGGUAAUCUUGUGAAACUUUGUCGUGCUGGGGAUAGAGCAUUGUAAUUAUUGCUCUUCAACGAGGAAUUCCUAGUAAGCGUGAGUCAUCAGCUCGCGUUGAUUACGUCCCUGCCCUUUGUACACACCGCCCGUCGCUACUACCGAUUGAAUGGCUUAGUGAGCCUUUGGAAUUGGCAGCCAACACCGGCAACGGUAGCUGGCCGCCGAAAACUUAUGCAAACUUGGUCAUUUAGAGGAAGUAAAAGUCGUAACA
rnacentral:rRNA from 1 species